UUUAUUAGAAGAGACGCAUUUAUUAGAUAAAAAGCCAAUGCAUGCUUUUACAGUAUGAAAAUUGGUGAUUUAUAAUAACUUAGCAAAUCGCAAAGUGAAAACAGGCGAUAAAUCAUUCAAGUUUCUGACCUAUCAGCUUUCGACGGUAUGGUAUUGGCUUACCGUGGCAGUGACGGUUAACGGGGGAUUAGGGUUCGAUUCCGGAGAGGGAGCCUGAGAAACGGCUACCACAUCUAAGGAAGGCAGCAGGCGCGCAAAUUACCCAAUUCUAACAGUUUGAGAGAGGUAGUAACAAGAAAUAACAAUACAAGGCAGUUAAAAUGCUUUGUAAUUGGAAUGAUAGAAAUUUAAACCCUUUUUAAAGUAUCAAUUGGAGGGCAAGUCUGGUGCCAGCAGCCGCGGUAAUUCCAGCUCCAAUAGCGUAUAUUAAAAUUGUUGCAGUUAAAAAGCUCGUAGUUGAAGUUCUGCUAAAAGUAACCGGUCUGCUUUGAAUAAAAGUGGUAUCUUGGUAUGUAUUUAGCAAUGAUGUCCU
rnacentral:rRNA from 1 species